rnacentral:misc_RNA from 1 species
GUGAAUCAUCGAAUCUUUGAACGCACAUUGCGCCCGCUAGUAUUCUGGCGGGCAUGCCUGUUCGAGCGUCAUUUCAACCCUCAGGCCCUGCCUGGUGAUGGGGCUCCCGUGGCACAGCGCCACGGUUCCCUGAAGAUGAGCGGCGGGCUCUGCUGAAUUCCGAGCGUAGUAAUGCUUUCGCUUAGGGGUCAGGCAGGUGUCUAGCCUAAGAAAUUUUCUUAAGGUUGACCUCGGAUCAGGUAGGAAUACCCGCUGAACUUAAGCAUAUCAAUAAGCGGAGGA